CAGUAGCCGCGGUAAUACGUAGGUGGCAAGCGUUGUCCGGAAUUAUUGGGCGUAAAGGGCUCGCAGGCGGUUUCUUAAGUCUGAUGUGAAAGCCCCCGGCUCAACCGGGGAGGGUCAUUGGAAACUGGGAAACUUGAGUGCAGAAGAGGAGAGUGGAAUUCCACGUGUAGCAGUGAAAUGCGUAGAGAUGUGGAGGAACACCAGUGGCGAAGGCGACUCUCUGGUCUGUAACUGACGCUGAGGAGCGAAAGCGUGGGGAGCGAACAGGAUUAGAUACCCCCGUAGUCCCUGUCUCUUAUAA
rnacentral:rRNA from 1 species